CAAUGGUUUUAACCGGCUCAGUACGGGAAUAAAAUUGGUCUAAUAUUUAAUAGACCAUCCCUACAAAUGUGUCAAAAUCAGCCUCAAUACAAUAUAUAGGCCGAAAAUAAAUCAUACUUACCUCAGUCAAGAUUUGUCUGUCAAACUUAAAGCAGUAUGAAGUUGUUAGUUGUAUCAUGUGCUCUAGUAGCAUUAACAAUCUUGUGGCAUGUACAGUCCAAGAUGUGAAAAUGGUACAGAAUGUGAGUAUCCCGGACCACCAAAUGGAGGUGAUCCAACCGAGUACCGGGGAAAAUGUACCAUUAUUAAAAAGUAAAAACAAGUUUACACAGGAAUAAAACAAAUUAUAAACUACA